rnacentral:rRNA from 1 species
UACGGGGGGGGCAAGCGUUGUUCGGAAUUACUGGGCGUAAAGGGCUCGUAGGUGGCCAUAACGUACUAGACGUGAAAUCCCUCGGCUUAACCGGGGAACUGCGUCUGAUACUGGAUGGCUUGAGUUUGGGAGAGGGACGCGGAAUUCCAGGUGUAGCGGUGAAAUGCGUAGAUAUCUGGAGGAAUACCGGUGGCGAAGGCGGCAUCCUGGACCAUUACUGACGCUGAGGCGCGAAAGCUAGGGGAGCAAACGGGG